rnacentral:rRNA from 1 species
GACGGAGGGGGCUAGCGUUGUUCGGAAUGACUGGGCGUAAAGGGCGCGUAGGCGGUUUUUUAAGUGAGGCGUGAAAGCCCUGGGCUUAACCCAGGAGGUGCGUUUCAUACUGGAAGACUUGAGUGCGAGAGAGGAAAGUGGAAUUCCUAGUGUAGAGGUGAAAUUCGUAGAUAUUAGGAAGAACACCUGUGGCGAAGGCGGCUUUCUGGCUCGCAACUGACGCUGAGGCGCGAAAGCGUGGGGAGCAAACAGGAUUAGAAACCCGUGUAGU